UUUCCGUAGGUGAACCUGCGGAAGGAUCAUUCAUAAUAAAGUGUUUUAUGGCACUUUUUAAAAAUCCAUAUCCACCUUGUGUGCAAUGUUAGAUCUCGUCAAUCUUGGCGAGAUUUUUAUACAUCAACUCAUUUUUUAACUAAUUUGUUUGAAAAAUAUUAUGAAUACUUAAUUCAAAAUACAACUUUCAACAACGGAUCUCUUGGCUCUC
rnacentral:misc_RNA from 1 species